CGGGCACUUGAGAGACGCUGAUUCUUCCCAGUCAGCCAAAUAGAUAUCUGCAUAGGCUGGUGAAUAUUUUCUGCCCAUAGCGCAACCGCAUAUCUGAAGAAAAAAAGAUUUGCCAAACAGGAAGUCAUUUCGGGUAAGGGUAAGUUGUAGAAACUGUAAAAUAAAAUAAUCAGGGCGAGAUGAGUCGGGUGAUGCUUCUAAUGCUUUUUUAACAGCCUCUAGACCAAGAAGGGUGUCAAUGUUAGUGUAGAGAGAAUCAACGUCUAUAGAAAAGAUGAACGUGUUCUCAGGGACCUUUAAAUGUUUCAAUUUAUUUACAAAUGUAUACGUGUCUUUGACGUAACUCGAAUGUGAAUGGGACAGGGGAUUUAUAUAGUAAUCUAUAAACUCUGCCAGGCGAUAGGACUCAGAACCACAGUCGCUAACAAUAGGACGACCCGGAGGGACCAGAUGUGGGACAGUCCAGCUCUCUGCAGCCUUUUGAAUCUUUGGAAGAAGAUAAAAUAGUCUAGCGCGAGGAAGAUCCGGGCCAUAAAGGUAGUUAGCUUGUCUUGAUAUUAUAAGACGUAGCCUUUUCAUUUGGUCAAUAAGAGUUCUGACUAUUGUUUGUGUUUCCAAGAACAUCGGCUGAGUGAGAGGGCGAUAAUAGGUAGUGUCGUGAAGUUGGCGCAUCGCCUCCAAAACAUAAUUGGUACGAUCUUGUAGUACUAUUUGGCCACCUUUAUCUGCCGGUUUGAUAAUAAUCUCCUGUCGGGAUUUUUAUGUUUUUGAGAGCCUGCUGUUGCCGGAUGUUGAUGUUGCCCUCCCCUUUAUGUCAUCGGGGUCGGAGGUCGCGAAAGGACCGGAGGUCGUGGUCAAUAAGGUCACGUAAAGGUGACGAGACGGACUCCAAGGCUGGCUCCCACAUGGACGGUCGCGGUCAGGAAGUGACGGUGUUGGAAUGAAGGUAAGGCCACGUUCAAGGAUUUCGAGUUCUAAUGGGGACAAUUGAAAGGCAGAGAGAUUAGUAACAUUGGAAAGGGAGACCGGAGGGAACGACAAUGCGACUGGUGACCCAACUAUAAAUCCAGUUGAGUCAACCAGUCCUUCAUCAUCAGUCUCCCAGUCUCCGGAGUCCAGUGAAUAUUGUCAUGCGUGGUUUAAAAUUUAAGUAAAGAUAACUGGUUAAGGUAGCCAG
rnacentral:lncRNA from 1 species